UGGGGAGGACAAAUUGCCAAGUUCCAGACUAGUACAGAAGUACCUGUUAGUGGCCCCAAAUCUGAAUCACAAUAAGAAACUGAUUCUUAUUAUGGAGUCAUCUAACCAGAAGAAAGAAAUGGUAGAAUUUAAGAAGGCAAUUCGAGGAGGUGAGAGAACAGAACUCUAAAAAUAUGUCUGGAAAAGCCAUCUACAUAAAGAUUUUACGAAGACAUGAAAAGACGGUCUUGACAUAAUGUCGUAACUUCUAAAGAAGAGUUCUGGAGUGUCCAGCAUCAGCAGGCAUGCACUGUGAUCAAUGCAUCUUUCAAACCUCAUCUGAGAAGGCUCUAUUUGCAGAAGACAGCAAUUAACACAGCGACCCACAGCUGGCCAAGGUGUAGAGGGAUUUAAUGUAACUGCUUCAUGUUCUUGGUGCCAUGGCUUCCCACCACAAUGGAGUACACCUUGAACGUAUGUGUGUACACCAUUCUCAGCAAUUACUGGUCUCAGCAGCUCAUGAAGAAAGAAAGAAAUGCCUUUCAGUGUUCCCACUGCAGAGGGGAACUGGACAUUUCACUGGUCCUGAUGGAUGAGGUGUCAUUAAGGUA